CCUACGGGAGGCUGCAGUGGGGGAUAUUGCACAAUGGGGGGAACCCUGAUGCAGCGACGCCGCGUGGGUGAAGGAGUGCUUCGGCAUGUAAAGCCCUAUCAGCAGGGAAGAAAAUGACGGUACCUGACUAAGAAGCCCCGGCUAACUACGUGCCAGCAGCCGCGGUAAUACGUAGGGGGCAAGCGUUAUCCGGAUUUACUGGGUGUAAAGGGAGCGUAGACGGCGGGCCAAGUCUGAUGUGAAAGGCCGGGGCUCAACCCCGGGACGGCAUUGGAAACUGGCAGGCUGGAGUGCCGGAGGGGCAGGCGGAAUUCCUGGUGUAGCGGUGAAAUGCAGAGAUAUCAGACGGAACACCGAUGGCGAGGGCAUCUCACGAAUCCGCGAUUGACGCUGAGGCACGAAAGCGUGGGGAGCAAACAGGAUUAGAUACCCCAGUAGUC
rnacentral:rRNA from 1 species